rnacentral:rRNA from 1 species
GUAGGUGGCAAGCGUUGUCCGGAAUUAUUGGGCGUAAAGCGCGCGCAGGCGGUUCUUUAAGUCUGAUGUGAAAGCCCACGGCUCAACCGUGGAGGGUCAUUGGAAACUGGAGAACUUGAGUACAGAAGAGGAAAGCGGAAUUCCACGUGUAGCGGUGAAAUGCGUAGAGAUGUGGAGGAACACCAGUGGCGAAGGCGGCUUUCUGGUCUGUAACUGACGCUGAGGCGCGAAAGCGUGGGGAGCAAACAGGGAUUAGAUACCCUGGUAGUCCACGCCGUAAACGAUGAGUGCUAAGUGUUAGGGGGGUUUCCGCCCCCUUAGUGCUGCAGCUAACGCAUUAAGCACUCCGCCUGGUGAGUACGGCCGCAAGGCUG